rnacentral:rRNA from 1 species
AUGUCUAAGAUAUAAACAAAUCUAUACGUGAAACUGCGAAUGGCAGUUAUAGUUUAUUUGAUGGUCCUUGCUACUGUGGAUAACCGUAGUAACUCUAGAGCUAAUACAUGCAUCAAACCCUGACUCACGAAGGGGNGUAUUUAUUAGAUGGAAACCAAUGCGGGGCNACCCGGAAUCUGGUGAUUCAUAAUAACUUUCGGAUCGACUUCNGNCGAUGCAUCAUUCAAGUUUCUGCCCUAUCAGCUUUGGAUGGNAGGGUAUUGGCCUACCNUGGCUUUAANGGGUAACGGAGAAUUAGGGUUCGAUUCCGGAGAGGGAGCCUGAGAAAUGGCUACCACAUCCAANGAAGGCAGCAGGCGCGUAAAUUACCCAAUCCUGACACAGGGAGGUAGUGACAAUAAAUAACAAUGCCGGGCUUUUCUAAGUCUGGCAAUUGGAAUGAGAACAAUUUAAAUCCCUUAUCGAGGAUCAAUUGGAGGGCAAGUNUGGUGCCAGCAGCCNCGGUAAUUCCAGCUCCAAUAGCGUAUACUAAAGUUGUUGCA